GUUGCUUUGGCGGGCCGCGGUCCUCCGCGGCCGCCCUCCGUCCGGGGGGUGGCCAGCGCCCGCCAGAGGACCAUCAAACUCCGGUCAGUGAACGUUGCCGUCUGAAAAACAAUCAAUAAACUAAAACUUUCAACAACGGAUCUCUUGGUUCUGGCAUCGAUGAAGAACGCAGCGAAAUGCGAUAAGUAAUGUGAAUUGCAGAAUUCAGUGAAUCAUCGAAUCUUUGAACGCACAUUGCGCCCCUCGGUAUUCCGAGGGGCAUGCCUGUUCGAGCGUCAUUACAACCCUCAAGCUCUGCUUGGUGUUGGGCACCGCCCUUCCGCGGGCGCGCCUCAAAGACCUCGGCGGUGGCGUCUUGCCUCGAGCGUAGUAGAAAACACCUCGCUUUGGAGCGCACGGCGCCGCCCGCCGGACGAACCUUUUGAACUUUCUCAAGGUUGACCUCGGAUCAGGUAGG
rnacentral:rRNA from 1 species